GCGAGCGUAGUUCAGUGGUAAAACAUCUCCUUGCCAAGGAGAAGAUGCGGGUUCGAUUUCCCGCUACA
rnacentral:tRNA from 2 species